AUACUGUUAGAAAAAUGUUCCAAAUGAUUUAUCUACAGAAGUUAUUAUUAAAGUAUAUGGGAAUUUGUGAAGAUAAAUCAUUAGGAACGUUUUUCUAACA